rnacentral:rRNA from 1 species
CAGUUCAGAUUGUGGGCNGCAACCCGCCCACAUGAAGUUGGAGUUGCUAGUAAUCGCGGAUCAGCAUGCCGCGGUGAAUACGUUCCCGGGCCUUGUACACACCGCCCGUCACACCAUGGGAGUUGGGAGCGCCCGAAGCCGGUGAGGUAACCGAGAGGAGCCAGCCGUCGAAGGUGAGACCAAUGACUGGGGUGAAGUCGUAACAAGGUAAC